CAGAUUGAACGCUGGCGGCAGGCCUAACACAUGCAAGUCGAGCGGUAGAGAGAAGCUUGCUUCUCUUGAGAGCGGCGGACGGGUGAGUAAUGCCUAGGAAUCUGCCUGGUAGUGGGGGAUAACGUUCGGAAACGGACGCUAAUACCGCAUACGUCCUACGGGAGAAAGCAGGGGACCUUCGGGCCUUGCGCUAUCAGAUGAGCCUAGGUCGGAUUAGCUAGUUGGUGGGGUAAUGGCUCACCAAGGCGACGAUCCGUAACUGGUCUGAGAGGAUGAUCAGUCACACUGGAACUGAGACACGGUCCAGACUCCUACGGGAGGCAGCAGUGGGGAAUAUUGGACAAUGGGCGAAAGCCUGAUCCAGCCAUGCCGCGUGUGUGAAGAAGGUCUUCGGAUUGUAAAGCACUUUAAGUUGGGAGGAAGGGCCGUUACCUAAUACGUGAUGGUUUUGACGUUACCGACAGAAUAAGCACCGGCUAACUCUGUGCCAGCAGCCGCGGUAAUACAGAGGGUGCAAGCGUUAAUCGGAAUUACUGGGCGUAAAGCGCGCGUAGGUGGUUUGUUAAGUUGGAUGUGAAAUCCCCGGGCUCAACCUGGGAACUGCAUUCAAAACUGACUGACUAGAGUAUGGUAGAGGGUGGUGGAAUUUCCUGUGUAGCGGUGAAAUGCGUAGAUAUAGGAAGGAACACCAGUGGCGAAGGCGACCACCUGGACUGAUACUGACACUGAGGUGCGAAAGCGUGGGGAGCAAACAGGAUUAGAUACCCUGGUAGUCCACGCCGUAAACGAUGUCAACUAGCCGUUGGGAGCCUUGAGCUCUUAGUGGCGCAGCUAACGCAUUAAGU
rnacentral:rRNA from 2 species